rnacentral:tRNA from 1 species
UCCUAGUUACCUCAGUUGGUAUACAGCGCUCGACUGGAAAUGGAGAGGUCCCUGGUUGGAUACCAGGAUUAGGCG